AUGAACGCUAGCUACAGGCUUAACACAUGCAAGUCGAGGGGAAACGGCAUCGAAAGCUUGCUUUUGAUGGGCGUCGACCGGCGCACGGGUGAGUAACGCGUAUCCAACCUGCCCAUCACUUGGGAAUAACCUUGCGAAAGUAAGACUAAUGCCCAAUGACAUCCCACGAAGGCAUCCGAAUGGGAUUAAAGAUUUAUCGGUGAUGGAUGGGGAUGCGUCUGAUUAGCUUGUUGGCGGGGUGACGGCCCACCAAGGCAACGAUCAGUAGGGGUUCUGAGAGGAAGGUCCCCCACAUUGGAACUGAGACACGGUCCAAACUCCUACGGGAGGCAGCAGUGAGGAAUAUUGGUCAAUGGGCGAGAGCCUGAACCAGCCAAGUAGCGUGCAGGAUGACGGCCCUAUGGGUUGUAAACUGCUUUUAUAAGGGAAUAAAGUGGGUCACGUGUGACUUUUUGCAUGUACCUUAUGAAUAAGAACCGGCUAAUUCCGUG
rnacentral:rRNA from 1 species